rnacentral:rRNA from 1 species
CAGCCCCCUGAGUGGUAAGGACGAUUAUUUGGCCUAAAGCGUUCGUAGCCGGCUUAUCAAGUCUUUUGUUAAAUCCAACGAUUCAAUCGUUGGGCCGCAAAAGAUACUGUUAUGCUAGAGGACGGGAGAGGUCGACGGUAGUCCAGGGAUAGGGGUGAAAUCCUAUAAUCCUUGGAGGACCACCAGUGGCGAAGGCGGUCGACUAGAACGUGCCUGACGGUGAGGGACAAAAGCUGGGGAGCGAACCGGAUUAGAUACCCGGGUAGUCCCAGCCGUAAACGAUGCGGGCUAGGUGUUGGGGCAGCCACGAGCUGCUCCCAGUGCCGCAGAGAAGUUGUUAAGCCCGCCGCCUGGGGGAGUACGGCCGCAAGGCUG